rnacentral:rRNA from 1 species
CCUACGGGAGGCAGCAGUGAGGAAUAUUGGGCAAUGGACGAGAGUCUGACCCAGCCAAGUAGCGUGAAGGAUGACUGCCCUAUGGGUUGUAAACUUCUUUUAUAUGGGAGUAAAAUGUUCCGCUUGUGGGAUUUUGUAUGUACCCUAUGAAUAAGGAUCGGCUAACUCCGUGCCGGCGGCCGCGGUAAUACGGAGGAUCCGGGCGUUAUCCGGAUUUAGUGGGUUUAAAGGGAGCGUAGGGGGAUUGUUAAGUCAGGUGUGAAAGUUUGCGGCUCAACCGUAAAAUUGCAGUUGAAACUGGCAGGCUUGAGUACAGUAGAGGUGGGUGGAAUUCGUGGUGUAGCGGUGAAAUGCGUAGAUAUCACGAAGAACUCCGAUUGCGAAGGCAGCUCACUGGACUGCAACUGACACUGAGGCUCGAAAGUGUGGGUAGCAAACAGGAUUAGAUACCCUGGUAGUC